AGCGGAGUAGGGUGCUUGCCCCUGAUUCCUAGCGGCGGAGGGUGAGUAAUGCUUAGGAUCUGCCUAUUAGUGGGGAACAACGUUCCGAAAGAGACGCUAUUACCGCAUACGUCCUACGGGAGAAAGCGGGGGAUCUUCGGACCUUGCGCUAAUAGAUGACCCUAAGUCGGAUUAGCUAGUUGGUGGGGUAAAGGCCAACCAAGGCGACAAUCUGUAGAGGAUCUGAGAGGAUGAUCCGCCACACUGGGACUGAAACAGGGCCCAAACUCCUACGGGAGGCAUCAGUGGGGAAUAUUGGACAAUGGAGGCAACUUUGAUCCAGCCUUGCGGGGGGUGUGAAGAGGCCUUUUGGUUGUAAGCACUUUAAGCGAGGAGGAGGCUUACCUGGUUAAUCCCCGGGAUAAGGGGCCGUUACUCGCAAAAAUAAGCACCCGCUACCUCUGUGCCAGCAGCCCGCGGAAAUACAGAGGGUGCA
rnacentral:rRNA from 1 species